UCUUUAAUUGGAAGUUUAUUAUUAAUUAUUUGUGUAUUGGUAAGUGUGGCUUUUUUAACGUUAUUAGAACGAAAAGUUUUAGGUUAUAUUCAAAUUCGUAAGGGUCCUAAUAAACUUGGAUUAAUAGGAAUUCCUCAACCUUUUUG